rnacentral:rRNA from 1 species
UCAGGAUGAACGCUGGCGGCGUGCUUCAUACAUGCAAGUCGAACGAGAAUUGAUAGCUUGCUAUCAAGGAAAGUGGCGGACGGGUGAGUAAUACAUAGGGAAUCUGCCCUUAGCCGGGGGACAACAGUUGGAAACGACUGCUAAUACCGCAUAUGAGUUAAGUUGAGAUACUUAACUUGAAAACUCCGGUGGCUAAGGAUGAGCCUGUGCCUGAUUAGUUAGUUGGCGGGGUAAAGGCCCACCAAGGCGACGAUCAGUAGCUGGUUUGAGAGGAUGAUCAGCCACAAUGGGACUGAGACACGGCCCAUACUCCUACGGGAGGCAGCAGUAGGGAAUUUUGCGCAAUGGGCGAAAGCCUGACGCCAGCAACGCCGCGUGAUUGAUGAAGCCCUUAGGGGUGUAAAGAUCUGUCAGUAGGGACGAAAGAUGACGGUACCUACAGAGGAAGCACCGGCUAACUCCGUGCCAGCCGCGGC